rnacentral:rRNA from 1 species
GACGAACGCUGGCGGCGUGCCUAAUACAUGCAAGUCGAACGCUUUUUCUUUCACCGGAGCUUGCUCCACCGAAAGAAAAAGAGUGGCGAACGGGUGAGUAACACGUGGGUAACCUGCCCAUCAGAAGGGGAUAACACUUGGAAACAGGUGCUAAUACCGUAUAACACUAUUUUCCGCAUGGAAGAAAGUUGAAAGGCGCUUUUGCGUCACUGAUGGAUGGACCCGCGGUGCAUUAGCUAGUUGGUGAGGUAACGGCUCACCAAGGCAACGAUGCAUAGCCGACCUGAGAGGGUGAUCGGCCACACUGGGACUGAGACACGGCCCAGACUCCUACGGGAGGCAGCAGUAGGGAAUCUUCGGCAAUGGACGAAAGUCUGACCGAGCAACGCCGCGUGAGUGAAGAAGGUUUUCGGAUCGUAAAACUCUGUUGUUAGAGAAGAACAAGGAUGAGAGUAGAACGUUCAUCCCUU